CAGCAGCGCGGUAAUACCGGCGGCCCGAGUGGCGGUCACUAUUAUUGGGCUUAAAGCGUCCGUAGCCGGGUUGGGAAGUCCUCCGGGAAAUCUGGCCGCUUAACGGUCAGAAUGCCGGAGGAUACUCCCAGCCUAGGGAGCGGGAGAGGCCGAGGGUAUUCCCGGAGUAGGGGUGAAAUCCUAUAAUCCCGGGGGGACCACCUGUGGCGAAGGCGCUCGGCUGGAACGCGUCCGACGGUGAGGGACGAAGGCCAGGGGAGCAAACCGGAUUAGAUACCCGGGUAGUCCUGGCUGUAAACGAUGCGGACUUUGUGUCGGACAAGCUAUGAGCUUGUCCGGUGCCGGAGGGAAACCGUUAAGUCCGCCGCCUGGGGAGUACGGCCGCAAGGCUGAAACUUAAAGGAAUUGGCGGG
rnacentral:rRNA from 1 species